GUGGGAAGGGAACGCGGCCUUUCUGGUUUCCGCGCUCGGGGUGGUGCUAGGCUGCGCCUGCGGCUCCUGCAUGGCGGGGGCUCGGUGUGUGCGGCCGCGUGGCCUCUGUGGGCCGGGGCGGGGUCCGGCCGGGCCCCUGAGCCCGCUGUCGCGCCCGCGGCGGCCCGGUCGGGUCCGGGCCCCGAAUACGUGAACGGCAGCGCCUGGGCCUGACUUCAGCCACGUUGCACCCCAGGAGGCCCCGAAGCGGACCUCGGUCUGCGACCCCGCCGGGAAAUGGGGAGAUGGGUUGGAGUGCAUUUGAGUGUAUUGGUCAUGGACUGGAUGCCGGGAGUUUCUGAUAUAAGCGCGGAGGUUCUGUGAAAGGGAACGGCCUCACCUAAGCCCACCCAUGUCACGCGGGGAAUCGGUCGGCGUGGAAGAGCCAGUUACGGUUUAGGGCCUGACACCGGGUCCAGGUGCAGAACCGGCGGAAGUCGAACGAGUAUCGCCGACUGAGCAGUUUUCAGUAUCCUGUCGCAUUGUGAGUUAUGAGAGAAAGUCUAAAGCUGGGAUUAGUUCUCGAAUGAGCAGUUCUCCCCGCGGGGUGACUUAGGGGCAGCAGCCUCGUGCCAGAGACCAGCAGUCUCUGCAGCAACUUGCAUGUAGCCUUUGUGUUGCCCGUUCACUUUUGGAAACUAGUGAAUGUGGUGUCAAAAAAGGCGUAAACUACACACUUUGCAGCCCUUUCCUGCCCUUGAAUUUGAUGUCUUUGGUGGAGGAGCUGUGGGAAGGAUGGAUGCAUGAAGCAUAGGCUGCUGCUACGUGAAGACUACCUGGGAGCACAAGUGACCUAAGGAUGCCCUUUGUGAAGAAUUUGAAAACUUGAUCUUCACAGGAGUUACCCGGAUCAUUUAAAAUUUUCCAGAGUCUGAGGAAGACCAAAAUUGUCUCUGGACAGUUCAUAAAUAAACAUUUAACACGAUGGGUCUGUGAAUAAAUAUUUAAAUACGCUUCCUGGAGGUCUGUGUA